CAGUAGCCGCGGGAAUACGGAGGGAGCUAGCGUUGUUCGUAAUUACUGGGCGUAAAGCGCGCGUAGGCGGUUACUCAAGUCAGAGGUGAAAGCCCGGGGCUCAACCCCGGAACUGCCUUUGAAACUAGGUGACUAGAAUCUUGGAGAGGUCAGUGGAAUUCCGAGUGUAGAGGUGAAAUUCGUAGAUAUUCGGAAGAACACCAGUGGCGAAGGCGACUGACUGGACAAGUAUUGACGCUGAGGUGCGAAAGCGUGGGGAGCAAACAGGAUUAGAUACCCGCGUAGUCCCUGUCUCUUAUAC
rnacentral:rRNA from 1 species